rnacentral:rRNA from 1 species
AUUGAACGCUGGCGGCAGGCCUAACACAUGCAAGUCGAACGAGUGGCGGACGGGUGAGUCAUGUCUGGGAAACUGCCUGAUGGAGGGGGAUACCUACUGGAACCGGUAGCUAAUACCCCAUACCAUCAGAUGUGCCCAGAUGGGAUUAGCUAGUUGGUGGGUUAACGGCGCACCCAGGCGACGAUCCCUAGCUGGUCUGAGAGGAUGACCAGCCACACUGGAACUGAGACACGGUCCAGACUCCUACGGGAGGCAGCAGUGGGGAAUAUUGCACAAUGGGCGCAAGCCUGAUGCAGCCAUGCCGCGUGUAUGAAGAAGGCCUUCGGGUUGUAAAGUACUUUCAGCGGGGAGGCGUUACCCGCAUAAGAAGCACCGGCUAACUACGUGCCAGCAGCCGCGGUAAUAC